CCUACGGGAGGCAGCAGUGAGGAAUUUUGGUCAAUGGACGAGAGUCUGAACCAGCCAAGUAGCGUGAAGGAUGAAUGCCCUAUGGGUUGUAAACUUCUUUUAUAUGGGAGUAAAAUGUUCCACGUGUGGGAUUUUGUAUGUACCAUAUGAAUAAGGAUCGGCUAACUCCGUGCCAGCAGCCGCGGUAAUACGGAGGAUCCGAGCGUUAUCCGGAUUUAUUGGGUUUAAAGGGAGCGUAGGUGGAUUGUUAAGUCAGUUGUGAAAGUUUGCGGCUCAACCGUAAAAUUGCAGUUGAAACUGGCAGUCUUGAGUACAGUAGAGGUGGGCGGAAUUCGAGGUGUAGCGGUGAAAUGCGUAGAGAUCAGGAAGAACACCGAUUGCGAAGGCAGCUCACUGGACUGCAACUGACACUGAGGCGCGAAAGUGUGGGGAUCAAACAGGAUUAGAUACCCGAGUAGUC
rnacentral:rRNA from 1 species